rnacentral:rRNA from 1 species
ACUAUUGCACAAUGGAGGGAACUCUGAUGCAGCAACGCUGCGUGCGUGAAGCAGGCUCUCGGAUCGUAAAACUCUGCCUCUGGGGAAGAAUCAAUGACGGUACUCUAAGAGGACACUCUGGCUACCGACUUACACGCAGCCGCGGUAAUACGUAGGGGGCGAGCGUUGUCCGGAAUUACUGGGCGUACAGGGUACGUAGGCGGCUAUAUGAGUCAGGUGUGAAAUACCAGUGCUUAACACUGGAAUGGCAUUUGAAACGGUGUAGCUUGAGUGCAGUAGAGAAAAGUGGAAUUCCUAGUGUAGCGGUGAAAUGCGUAGAGAUUAGGAGGAACACCAGUGGCGAAGGCGACUUGCUGGACUGUAACUGACGCUGAGGUACGAAAGCGUGGGUAGCGAAC